rnacentral:rRNA from 1 species
UGGGGAAUUUUGGACAAUGGGCGAAAGCCUGAUCCAGCAAUGCCGCGUGUGUGAAGAAGGCCUUCGGGUUGUAAAGCACUUUUGUCCGGAAAGAAAUCCUUGGCUCUAAUACAGUCGGGGGAUGACGGUACCGGAAGAAUAAGCACCGGCUAACUACGUGCCAGCAGCCGCGGUAAUACGUAGGGUGCAAGCGUUAAUCGGAAUUACUGGGCGUAAAGCGUGCGCAGGCGGUUUGCUAAGACCGAUGUGAAAUCCCGGGCUCAACCUGGGAACUGCAUUGGUGACUGGCAGGCUAGAGUAUGGCAGAGGGGGGUAGAAUUCCACGUGUAGCAGUGAAAUGCGUAGAGAUGUGGAGGAAUACCGAUGGCGAAGGCAGCCCCCUGGGCCAAUACUGACGCUCAUGCACGAAAGCGUGGGGGAGCAAACAGGAUUAGAUACCCUGGUAGUCCACGCCCUAAACGAUGUCAACUAGUUGUUGGGGAUUCAUUUCCUUAGUAACGUAGCUAACGCGUGAAGUUGACCGCCUGGGGAGUACGGUCGCAAGAUUAAAACUUAAAGGAAUUGACGGGGUCAUA